rnacentral:rRNA from 1 species
UAACAAGGUAAACAUUAGCUGUGGGCCAUUGGUGGCCAACGGGUGAAUAGCACGUGGGCACUCUGCCCUGCACUCUGGGACGGGCCCUGGAAACGGGGACCAAUACCGGAUACUGACUACGACGGGCAUCCGAGAGCAGGGGAUGUUCCGGCCUUGCGCGAUGAACCGACCCGAUGUCAGAUUGUUUAUGAGGUGGGGGAUCGGCCCACCAACGACAGGAUCCCUGCCUGGUCUGACAAGAGGACCCGCCGCACUGGAACUGAGACCCGGACCCCACUCCUACGGGAGGCAGCGGAGGGGAAUAUUGGACAAUGGGCGCUGGCCUGAUCCAGCCAUACGGCGUGGGAGAAGAAUGCCUUCGGGUUGUAAAGCCCUUUUGUUGGAAAAGAAAUCCAGCCGGCUAAUACCUGAUUGGGAUGACAACUCCCAAAGAAUAAGCACCGGCUAACUUCGUGCCAGAGCCCGCGGUAAUACUAAGGGUGCAAGCGUUACUCGGAAUUACUGGGCGUAAAGCGUGCGAAAGUGGUUAUUUAAGUCCCUUGUGAAAGCCCUGUACUCAACCUGGGAACUGCAGUGGAUACUGGAUGACUAGAAUGUGUUAGAGGGUAGCGGAAUUCCUGGUGUGGAACACAAAUGCGUAAAGGUCAAGAGGAACAUCCAUGCUGAAGGCAACUACCUGGACCAACAUUAGCACUGAGGCACGAAACCCUGGGGAGCAAACAGGAUUACUACCCUGGUAGUCCACGGCCUACACUAUGCGAACUGCGUGUUGGGUGCAAUUUGUUACGUACUAUCCCAGCUGACGCGUUACGUUCGGCUACUGGGGAGUGCGGUCGCAGAGUCCACUCAAAGGAUGAACGGGGGCCUGCACAAGCGCAGCAGUAUGUAGCUUAUUCGACGCGACGUGCAGAGCAUACCUGGGCUAGACGUGUCCACUACUUGCCAGAGUGAUUGGUGCAUCGGGAACUCAACUCUGUGCUGCAUGCUGUCUCAUCUCGUGUCGGAGCGUGGUUAGUCGCUGCACGACGCACCGUGUCUAGGUACUCACACGAACGGUGGGAUCUACUAGGAGACAGCGGUGACCACGCAGUACUAGGGGCUUAUGUCAUGUGCUCUUGACCGUA